ACGGAAGGCAGCAGUGAGGAAUAUUGGUCAAUGGGCGGAAGCCUGAACCAGCCAAGUCGCGUGAAGGAUGAAGGUAUUAUGUAUUGUAAACUUCUUUAGCAGGGGAGCAACAGUCGCCACGCGUGGUGUUAAGAGAGUACCCUGAGAAUAAGCAUCGGCUAACUCCGUGCCAGCAGCCGCGGUAAUACGGAGGAUGCGAGCGUUAUCCGGAUUUGUUGGGUUUAAAGGGUGCGCAGGCGGUCUUUUAAGUCAGUGGUAAAUUCGUGGUGCUCAACGCCAUACGGCCAUGGAUACUGGGUGACUUGAUUGCGGUCGAGUAGGCGGAAUUCGUCGUGUAGCGGUGAAAUGCAUAGAUAUGACGAAGAACACCGAUUGCGUAGGCAGCUUACCAGGCCGUAAAUGACGCUCAUGCACGAAAGUGCGGGGAUCGAACAGGAUUAGAUACCCUGGUA
rnacentral:rRNA from 1 species